rnacentral:rRNA from 1 species
GAUGAACGCUGGCGGCAGGCCUAACACAUGCAAGUCGAACGCCGUAGCAAUACGGAGUGGCAGACGGGUGAGUAACACGUGGGAACGUACCCUUCGGUUCGGGAUAACUCAGGGAAACUUGAGCUAAUACCGGAUACGUCCGAGAGGAGAAAGAUUUAUUGCCGAGGGAUCGGCCCGCGUCUGAUUAGCUUGUUGGUGAGGUAACGGCUUACCAAGGCGACGAUCAGUAGCUGGUCGAGAGGAUGAUCAGCCACAUUGGGACUGAGACACGGCCCAAACUCCUACGGGAGGCAGCAGUGGGGAAUAUUGGACAAUGGGCGCAAGCCUGAUCCAGCAAUACCGCGUGUGCGAUGAAGGUCUUCGGAUUGUAAAGCACUUUCAGUAGGGAAGAUGGUUU